AGAGUUUGAUCCUGGCUCAGGAUGAACGCUGGCGGCGUGCCUAAUACAUGCAAGUCGAGCGAACGGACGAGAAGCUUGCUUCUCUGAUGUUAGCGGCGGACGGGUGAGUAACACGUGGAUAACCUACCUAUAAGACUGGGAUAACUUCGGGAAACCGGAGCUAAUACCGGAUAAUAUUUUGAACCGCAUGGUUCAAAAGUGAAAGACGGUCUUGCUGUCACUUAUAGAUGGAUUCGCGCUGCAUUAGCUAGUUGGUAAGGUAACGGCUUACCAAGGCAACGAUGCAUAGCCGACCUGAGAGGGUGAUCGGCCACACUGGAACUGAGACACGGUCCAGACUCCUACGGGAGGCAGCAGUAGGGAAUCUUCCGCAAUGGGCGAAAGCCUGACGGAGCAACGCCGCGUGAGUGAUGAAGGUCUUCGGAUCGUAAAACUCUGUUAUUAGGGAAGAACAUAUGUGUAAGUAACUGUGCACAUCUUGACGGUACCUAAUCAGAAAGCCACGGCUAACUACGUGCCAGCAGCCGCGGUAAUACGUAGGUGGCAAGCGUUAUCCGGAAUUAUUGGGCGUAAAGCGCGCGUAGGCGGUUUUUUAAGUCUGAUGUGAAAGCCCACGGCUCAACCGUGGAGGGUCAUUGGAAACUGGAAAACUUGAGUGCAGAAGAGGAAAGUGGAAUUCCAUGUGUAGCGGUGAAAUGCGCAGAGAUAUGGAGGAACACCAGUGGCGAAGGCGACUUUCUGGUCUGUAACUGACGCUGAUGUGCGAAAGCGUGGGGAUCAAACAGGAUUAGAUACCCUGGUAGUCCACGCCGUAAACGAUGAGUGCUAAGUGUUAGGGGGUUUCCGCCCCUUAGUGCUGCAGCUAACGCAUUAAGCACUCCGCCUGGGGAGUACGACCGCAAGGUUGAAACUCAAAGGAAUUGACGGGGACCCGCACAAGCGGUGGAGCAUGUGGUUUAAUUCGAAGCAACGCGAAGAACCUUACCAAAUCUUGACAUCCUUUGACAACUCUAGAGAUAGAGC
rnacentral:rRNA from 1 species